rnacentral:rRNA from 1 species
GCGAACGCUGGCGGCAGGCCUAACACAUGCAAGUCGAGCGCCCGUAGCAAUACGGGAGCGGCAGACGGGUGAGUAACACGUGGGAACGUGCCCUUUGGUUCGGAAUAACUCAGGGAAACUUGAGCUAAUACCGGAUAAGCCCUUACGGGAAAGAUUUAUCGCCGAAGGAGCGGCCCGCGUCCGAUUAGCUAGUUGGUGGGGUAAUGGCCCACCAAGGCUACGAUCGGUAGCUG